GACAUGAGUAGCAAGCGUUACCCGUAAUUAUUAGGCGUAAAGGAUGUCUAGGCUGUAAAAGUAGUUAUACUAGACCACAACAGUUGUAUGGGGUGUACUAUAAAACCUUUUUACUAGAUUUUUUUGAUUGUACAUGGUUGUUGUAAAUUAGCGAUAAAAUGCAGUCAGUUUACAAUGGUUUUUAGAUAUGGAAGUGGUGUACAGCAUAAAAAUGACGCUGAAACAUGAAAGUAUAAGGAUCGACCAGGAUUAGAGACCCUAUUAGUUUAUACUGUAAACGAUGAGUAUUGAUUUUAAAUUAAUUAAGCUAACGCGAAAAUACUCCGCCUGGGCAGUACUGUCGCAAGGUUGAAACUUAACAGAAUUGGCGGGAAUUUGUUAGAACGGUGGAACAUGUGGUUUAAUACGAUAAUCCGCGUAAAAUCUUACCAAAUUGUUUUUAAUAAAUUUAAAUUUUUUUUAAUAAAAAUUAUUUAUUUAUUAUUUAUGGUACUGCAUGGCUGUCGUCAGUUCUUGUUGUGAAAUAUAGAAUUAAGUUUCAUAAAGAACGCAACUCUUAUUUUUAGUUUUAAAAUUUUUCUUUUUUAAUUGAAAAUUAAUUUUUUUUUGUUUAAAAAAAUUAAUUAAUUUAAUAGAUUAAUUUUUUCUAAAUAAUGAUGCUGUUUUUAAACUCAAAAUUUUUUGAGACUAACAGUUUGAGGAGGAAGAGACUGAAGUCAAGUCCUUAUGGUCCGUGUAUUUUGGGCUACACACGUGUUACAUAGGCGGAAACAAAGAGUUGCUAAAAAUUGAUUUUUCGCAAAUCUCUAAAAACUGUCUCAGUCCAGAUUAUUUUCUGUAAUUCGAAAGUAUGAAGACGAAAUCGUUAGUAAUCGUAAAUUAGUACGUUACGGUGAAUGGUUAAUCAAAUUUUGCACACACCGCCCAUCACGCUCUGAGCAUUAGUACAUUUCGAGAGGCCUAUGAAUAAGCUAUUGAAUUAACACCGCUUGUAUUAUGACCCGGUAUAGUUUAUAUUAAUUUAUGUUUGGCUUUGAUUUAAGUGGUUAAAUACUUGUUGAUGGUUUUUAAUUGCUUUUUAUGUUCCAUAAGUCUUGUCUAUUUUUCGGAAUGGGUUGUUAGACUGUCCUGGUUAUCUGAGUGAAGUUG
rnacentral:rRNA from 1 species